rnacentral:rRNA from 1 species
UACGUAGGUGGCGAGCGUUGUCCGGAAUAACUGGGCGUAAAGGGAGCGUAGGUGGUAAUUUAAGUUAAAUGUGAAAGCCCAGGGCUCAACUCUGGAAUUGCAUUUAAUACUGGGUUACUAGAGUGCAGGAGGGGUAAACGGAAUUUCUAGUGUAGCGGUGAAAUGCGUAGAUAUUAGGAAGAACACCGGAGGCGAAGGCGGUUUACUGGACUGCAACUGACACUGAGGCUCGAAAGCGUGGGGAGCAA